AUACGGAGGGUGCGAGCGUUAAUCGGAAUUACUGGGCGUAAAGCGUGCGUAGGCGGUUUGUUAAGUCAGAAGUGAAAGCCCUGGGCUCAACCUGGGAACGGCUUUUGAGACUGGCAGACUCGAGUUGAGUAGAGGGGAGUGGAAUUUCCGGUGUAGCGGUGAAAUGCGUAGAGAUCGGAAGGAACACCAGUGGCGAAGGCGACUCCCUGGACUCAAACUGACGCUGAGGUACGAAAGCGUGGGUAGCAAACAGGAUUAGAAACCCGAGUAGUCC
rnacentral:rRNA from 1 species